rnacentral:rRNA from 1 species
GAUGAACGCUGGCGGCGUGCCUAAUACAUGCAAGUCGAGCGAACAGACGAGGAGCUUGCUCCUCUGACGUUAGCGGCGGACGGGUGAGUAACACGUGGAUAACCUACCUAUAAGACUGGGAUAACUUCGGGAAACCGGAGCUAAUACCGGAUAAUAUAUUGAACCGCAUGGUUCAAUAGUGAAAGACGGUUUUGCUGUCACUUAUAGAUGGAUCCGCGCCUCAUUAGCUAGUUGGUAAGGUAACGGCUUACCAAGGCAACGAUGCGUAGCCGACCUGAGAGGGUGAUCGGCCACACUGGAACUGAGCCACGGUCCAGACUCCUACGGGAGGCAGCAGUAGGGAAUCUUCCGCAAUGGGCGAAAGCCUGACGGAGCAACGCCGCGUGAGUGAUGAAGGUCUUCGGAUCGUAAAACUCUGUUAUUAGGGAAGAACAAAUGUGUAAGUAACUAUGCACGUCUUGACGGUACCUAAUCAGAAAGCCACGGCUAACUACGUG